AUUGAACGCUGGCGGCAGGCCUAACACAUGCAAGUCGACCGAGUGGCGGACGGGUGAGUAAGGUCUGGGAAACUGCCCGAUGGACGGGGAUAACUACGGGAAACGGUAGCUAAUAUCGCAUACCAUCGGAUGUGCACAGAUGGGAUUAGCUUGUAGGUGAGGUAACGGCUCACCUAGGCGACGAUCCCUAGACGGUCUGAGAGGAUGACCAGCCACCCUGGAUCUUAGACACGGUCCGGACUCCUACGGUAGGCAGCAGUGGGGAAUAUUGCACAAUGGCCGCAAGCUUGAUGCAGCAAUGCCGCGUGUAUGAAGAAGGCCUUCGGGUUGUAAAGUACUGUCAGCGGGGAGGCGUUACCCGCAUAAGAAGCACGGGCGAACGGCGUGCAAGCAGCCGCGGUAAUAC
rnacentral:rRNA from 1 species